GACGAACGCUGGCGGCGUGCUUAACACAUGCAAGUCGAACGGAAAGGCCCUGCUUUUGUGGGGUGCUCGAGUGGCGAACGGGUGAGUAACACGUGAGUAACCUGCCCUUGACUUUGGGAUAACUUCAGGAAACUGGGGCUAAUACCGGAUAGGAGCUCCUGCUGCAUGGUGGGGGUUGGAAAGUUUCGGCGGUUGGGGAUGGACUCGCGGCUUAUCAGCUUGUUGGUGGGGUAGUGGCUUACCAAGGCUUGGACGGGUAGCCGGCCUGGGAGGGUGACCGGCCACAUGGGGACUGAGAUACGGCCCAGACUCCUACGGGAGGCAGCAGUGGGGAAUAUUGCACAAUGGGCGGAAGCCGGAUGCAGCAACGCCGCGUGCGGGAGGACGGCCUUCGGGUUGUAAACCGCUUUCGCCUGUGACGAAGCGUGAGUGACGGUAAUGGGUAAAGAAGCACCGGCUAACUACGU
rnacentral:rRNA from 1 species